GGAAGGGUACCAUGGAGUAAAUUGUGAGAGAGGUUCAGGAUUCUGAGUUGGUCUAAUCCUGCCAAGGAUUCGCAGAUCAUUCCUGUGAGUCUUUUGUUCCCAAGUUCUAGCCCAAUAACUCUUUUGCUUAAAUAAGUGGAAUUAUCACAAGUGACACCAGUCCAAGUGCAGCAAUCAGAAGCAGUGCUAUUCCAGCCAUCUAUCUUUGAUGUCAAAC
rnacentral:misc_RNA from 1 species